CACAUAUGAUUGUUUUUUUAAAUAUAUACUUUUAUCUAAGAACAGAACAGCAGCCCCUUCAGGUUGACACUGAACAAAGAGAACAACAUUAGCGCUCUCCCAACAGACUCUACACCAACCCUGAAACAGCAUGAGGUACUGCGCUGACUCAGCAGCGUUUGAACUCCAUCGAGGACAGUAAUUUGAUGACUGUGAUCAGAGCGGAGCAACAGUGGAUACAGGGAGGAACAACGGCGACACUGUAAACUGGCUAAAAUUCGACUUAUCAGUUUCUUUCCUGGCAAAGAAACCCGACGCGUCCUUGUUCUGUUCUAUAAAUAUCCUUUUCUCCUCAUCUUUCGGGGCUCUGUCACCUGCCUGCCUCUCAGCCUUCAUUACAUCCCUGUUCACAACAUGGUAGUUUUUUUUGCAAAGGGCAACAGUGCAAGUCAAUCAUUGUGACAGGUGGAACAAAAGCACAUCAUGCUCUGUCAGAUGUGUGAUGUGAUGUGAGCGACUGACGCACAUCUUUGUGCCAAUGACCACACUGGAAUAACAGCUACAAGUGUUGAGCCACCCAUGUGUGUUUGUUCGAUUUGAACUCCACGAACUACGAAAAUAUUUAUUUUUAUUAUCAAGAGUCAAGAUGAGAGAGUUCUAAAAGUGUGAGUCUGUGUGUUUGGUCUAACAGACUGAAUUGGUACAACUUUAAAACAGCUCCAACGUCCGCGAUGACAUUUUUAGAUCAGCUUCCUAAUUUGGCUCAUCCUAUCUUUUCUCUUUUCUUUCCCCAUCUUUUUAUUUUCUUCUCUUUUAUCCGUCACUGUGGAAGGACCAAAGGUCGCUCGUCCUAUUCCUAAAUCAACUUUCGGCCUUUCAAAACAUCAAGAGUCUGACUUACGCCUGGGAGCCACAAUGAAGGGAAAAAAGUUUCCAAAAAACAAACGAAAGACAGCGAAUGCAGCACAAUCCAAAGUAUGACGAAUAUUUCAUUUAACUUUUAGUCAGAAUAGCAGAAUAUUUUAUUUCAACCGCUGACUUUACGCCGUCACGCUGACUUCAGCCGACUGAAGGCGCCGCACUUAAAUGACACGCACAGCGAAGUGAUUAGACAGCCACGACAUUAUUUUUGGAGCCAUCACCUUGCCUGUAGGUGGAGGAGGUGGAAUAAGUAUUCAUUCUCCGUCACCGCCUGGAAAAGAAGCACUCUAGAAAUCUGGUGAGCCCACUUACCACCGUAAUAAAUACCCAGAGAGCCGAGGGACGCUGGGAAGACAGAGGAAGGGGAGCGAGGGAGAGAAGCUGAUGAUGAGAUAAGAGGGACGGUGCAGAGAGGCAGAGGACGUUAAGGAGUUGGCUAGAGCUGGCAGCAGGGCCUUGGCACACACGGAGCUGUGAGCCUGACGCAGCCCGGAGGACAGUUUCCCCCCUUGGUUCUGUUUAUUCUACAUGGCCAUUGAUAAACUUGUUUCGAGGACGGUGAAAUCCACAGCGACAGUCAGAGAGGAUCUAAGCCCACCGAGUUUCAA